UACGUAGGGGGCAAGCGUUGUCCGGAUUUAUUGGGCGUAAAGAGCGUGUAGGCGGCCAGGUAGGUCUGCUGUGAAAACUCGAGGCUCAACCUCGAGACGUCGGCGGAAACCAUCUGGCUAGAGUCCGGAAGAGGAGAGUGGAAUUCCUGGUGUAGCGGUGAAAUGCGCAGAUAUCAGGAGGAACACCGGUGGCGAAGGCGGCUUGCUGGGCCAGUUCUGACGCUGAGGAGCGAAAGCGUGGGGAGCGAACAGG
rnacentral:rRNA from 1 species